rnacentral:rRNA from 1 species
CAAUAGCGUAUAUUAAAGUUGUUGCAGUUAAAAAGCUCGUAGUUGGAUUUCUGAUCGAGACAUCAGGUCGGGUCCGAGAGGAUCAUGUACUUUGAUUUUGUUUUGAUCAUCCUUGGGGAGAGCAUUUCUGGCAUUCAGUUGUCGGGAUUGGGAUCCUCAUCGUUUACUGUGAAAAAAUUAGAGUGUUCAAAGCAGGCCUCGGCCCCUGAAUACAUUAGCAUGGAAUAAUAAGAUAGGACUUUGGUGGUCUAUUUUGUUGGUUUGCACGCCAAAGUAAUGAUUAAUAGGGAUAGUUGGGGGUAUUCGUAUUCAAUUGUCAGAGGUGAAAUUCUUGGAUUUAUGGAAGACGAACUACUGCGAAAGCAUUUACCAAGGAUGUUUUCAUUAA